rnacentral:rRNA from 1 species
AGGACGAACGCUGGCGGCGUGCCUAACACAUGCAAGUCGAACGCCCUCCGAUCGGUAGCAAUACUGAUGAAGAGGGAGUGGCGAACGGGUGAGUAGCACGUGAGCAACCUGCCCCGAAGACUGGGACAACACCGGGAAACCGGUGCUAAUACCGGAUAUCCCUAUCGGACCGCAUGAUCUGAUAAGGAAAUGGAUUCCGCUUCGGGAGGGGCUCGCGGCCUAUCAGCUAGUUGGUGAGGUAAUAGCUCACCAAGGCAUCGACGGGUAGCUGGUCUGAGAGGACGAUCAGCCACACUGGGACUGAGACACGGCCCAGACUCCUACGGGAGGCAGCAGUGGGGAAUCUUGCGCAAUGGGCGAAAGCGUGACGCGGCAACGCCGCGUGGGGGAAGAAGGGCUUUCGGGUUGUAAACCCUUUCAGUUGGGACGAAGCUUCGCCGGUGAAUAGCCGGCUGGAGUGACGGUACCUUCAGAAGAAGCCCGGCUAACUACGUGCCAGCAGCCG